rnacentral:rRNA from 1 species
AGUGAACGCUGGCGGUAGGCCUAACACAUGCAAGUCGAACGGCAGCACAGUAAGAGCUUGCUCUUACGGGUGGCGAGUGGCGGACGGGUGAGGAAUACAUCGGAAUCUACUUUUUCGUGGGGGAUAACGUAGGGAAACUUACGCUAAUACCGCAUACGACCUACGGGUGAAAGCAGUGGAUCUUCGGACCUUGCGCGAUUGAAUGAGCCGAUGUCGGAUUAGCUAGUUGGCGGGGUAAAGGCCCACCAAGGCGACGAUCCGUAGCUGGUCUGAGAGGAUGAUCAGCCACACUGGAACUGAGACACGGUCCAGACUCCUACGGGAGGCAGCAGUGGGGAAUAUUGGACAAUGGGCGCAAGCCUGAUCCAGCCAUACCGCGUGGGUGAAGAAGGCCUUCGGGUUGUAAAGCCCUUUUGUUGGGAAAGAAAAGCAGCAGGUUAAUACCUCGCUGUUCUGACGGUACCCAAAGAAUAAGCACCGGCUAACUUCGUG